AUAUGUGGUUUUGGUAAUUGAUGACAAUUCCUAUGGACUAUUGGUUGCCUUAAGUUAUAUUUAUAGGAUUUGUCCAUAUGCACUUCUUUAAAUCCAUCUGUUGGGUUCAUGAAGUUUAUAUGAUGACAAGAAUGGUCAUAGAGACACAAGGUUGAUCAAGAUCGUCAGAGAAAGAGUAGAUCAAGAUUAUCAACACACAAAACAUACAAGAUGUACCGAGAGGGAUCAAGUGAU
rnacentral:lncRNA from 1 species